UCACUCUGACACUAAUCCUUUAAUAUUACUAACCCAUGCAAGAAUGUGAGCGAGUAUCAGUGUGGGUGCUAAUUGGUGAGUGAAUGAUUUACUAACACUGCAUGUUUUUAUGUGAGAUGUUUUAACUAUAGAGUUUCAAUGGUUUUAUACUCUAGUUUAUGAUCAUUCCAUCAUAAAGUCUCGUAAGAGAUAGAUGUUGGAAUUUUCCAUUUGUCAGCAUAUAUUUAUUUUAAAACUUAAGUCCUCAGGUCGCUGGACAUCAUUUUCAAUAUUAUAGACAUCUAUAAAAUAAAGAAUAUAUAAGACAACCCACUUGUGUUCUCUACACACAACCCGGCUACAGCAUAACGGCGCUAGAACGGCAUUGACUCAUCUAUGUCUAGUAACUGUCGAUGUAGUAGUCAUCAACAGAUCCUUGCGAGUCUUGGUCAUGAUUGUAGUCGCUGUUCUCAGAGACGGGACGUCGAAGUUGUUGCAUCCGCCCGAAUUUAACGUCUGGGCACUCGUGGCAGACGACUGUGUUAAGAUUACAAACGUUCGUUGUGUCUUCUAAAAGCAGAUAGUAAAAAAAUGUCAACUAUUUAAAACACAAGUUUGUUAUUUUUAUUUCUGGUUCGUGUUGAAUUUGGUUCAUACACAUUCCGUUUCCUCAUAUCAGAUGUCAGUGCAAUGAUUUAGAGUAUGUAAGCCAGAAGUUAAUAACUUUUAGUUUUGACAAUUGACAAAUGCACACAAACACAACAUUGAAAAACAGAACGCGGAUGAAUAUAGCUAAGGGUCCUCCGCUUGGUGAGCAAAGCUUUGUGAUUAUACACCAAUAUGUAAUCUGUUUAGUGUCUUAAAUAAAUGCUAGUUGGUUGUUACCUUAA